GGGUCAGUAGGUUGGUCGUGCCACCGGUACGUACUGGUCUCACUGAUUCCUCUUUCCUGAAGAACCGUAAUGCCAUUAAUUUGGUGUUGCGGGGAAACAGGACUGUUACUUUGAAAAAAUUAGAGUGUUUAAAGCAAGCUAACGCUUGAAUACAUGAGCAUGGAAUAAUGAAAUAGGACGAUCGAUCCUAUUUUGUUGGUUUCUAGGAUUGACGUA
rnacentral:rRNA from 1 species